rnacentral:rRNA from 1 species
AGAGUUUGAUCCUGGCUCAGGAUGAACGCUGGCAGCGUGCUUAACACAUGCAAGUCGAACGAUCCUUCGGGAUAGUGGCGGACGGGUGAGUAACGCGUGGGAAUCUGCCCUCAGGAGGGGGAUAACGGCUGGAAACGGCCGCUAAUACCCCAUAUGCCGAGAGGUGAAAUGAAUUUCGCCUGAGGAUGAGCCCGCGUCUGAUUAGCUAGUUGGUGGGGUAAAGGCCUACCAAGGCAACGAUCAGUAGCUGGUCUGAGAGGAUGAUCAGCCACACUGGGACUGAGACACGGCCCAGACUCCUACGGGAGGCAGCAGUGGGGAAUUUUCCGCAAUGGGCGAAAGCCUGACGGAGCAACGCCGCGUGAGGGAUGAAGGCCUCUGGGCUGUAAACCUCUUUUCUCAAGGAAGAAGACCUGACGGUACUUGAGGAAUAAGCCACGGCUAAUUCCGUGCCAGCAGCCGCGGUAAUACGGGAGUGGCAAGCGUUAUCCGGAAUUAUUGGGCGUAAAGCGUCCGCAGGCGGCCUUGUAAGUCUGUUGUUAAAGCGUGGAGCUCAACUCCAUUUAAGCAAUGGAAACUACAAGGCUGGAGUGUGGUAGGGGCAGAGGGAAUUCCCGGUGUAGCGGUGAAAUGCGUAGAUAUCGGGAAGAACACAGUGGCGAAGGCGCUCUGCUGGGCCAUAACUGACGCUCAUGGACGAAAGCCAGGGGAGCGAAAGGGAUUAGAUACCCCUGUAGUCCUGGCCGUAAACGAUGAACACUAGGUGUCGGGGGAAUCGACCCCCUCGGUGUCGUAGCCAACGCGUUAAGUGUUCCGCCUGGGGAGUACGCACGCAAGUGUGAAACUCAAAGGAAUUGACGGGGGCCCGCACAAGCGGUGGAGAAUGUGGUUUAAUUCGAUGCAACGUGAAGAACCUUACCAGGGUUUGACAUCCUGCGAACCCCUGAGAAAUCGGGGGGUGCCUUCGGGAGCGCAGAGACAGGUGGUGCAUGGCUGUCGUCAGCUCGUGUCGUGAGAUGUUGGGUUAAGUCCCGCAACGAGCGCAACCCACGUCUUUAGUUGCCAGCAUUCAGUUGGGCACUCUAGAGAGACCGCCGGUGAUAAACCGGAGGAAGGUGUGGAUGACGUCAAGUCAUCAUGCCCCUUACAUCCUGGGCUACACACGUACUACAAUGCUACGGACAAAGGGCAGCAAGCUCGCGAGAGUUAGCAAAUCCCAUAAACCGUGGCUCAGUUCAGAUCGUAGGCUGCAACUCGCCUACGUGAAGGAGGAAUCGCUAGUAAUCGCAGGUCAGCAUACUGCGGUGAAUACGUUCCCGGGCCUUGUCG